UACGUAGGGUGCGAGCGUUGUCCGGAAUUAUUGGGCGUAAAGAGCUUGUAGGCGGUCUGUCGCGUCUGCUGUGAAAAUCCGGGGCUCAACCCCGGACUUGCAGUGGGUACGGGCAGACUAGAGUGUGGUAGGGGAGACUGGAAUUCCUGGUGUAGCGGUGAAAUGCGCAGAUAUCAGGAGGAACACCGAUGGCGAAGGCAGGUCUCUGGGCCACUACUGACGCUGAGAAGCGAAAGCAUGGGGAGCGAACUGG
rnacentral:rRNA from 1 species